CUCAUGAUCACUAGUAAAUUAUAAAAAUGAAAACUGUAUGAAGGCGCACUCGUUUAAAACGAAAUUGUGAUGACUGUGUUUUACUGAUAUAAAAAAAACACACAAACAAGCAUGGAUUGGAAUCCUAGACCAGCAGAGGAAUUAUGGGAACUUAUCAGUAAGAACGACUCUCCGUCCAUUUUGAAGGGGAUCCUAACAGAAGAGUUGUUUCACAAACUGAAGGACAAAAAAACUUCAUUUGGCGGUACACUGGCACAUUGUAUGAGUUCAGGGUGUUUGCAUUUUCGUAAAAACGCAGGUAUUUAUGCCAGCGAUCCCGAGGCGUAUAGUGUGUUUUUGCUGACAUAUUCACUGAAGUUAUAAGAAGGUAUCACCGUGUUGAAAUUUUAAAUCAUCCGGAACCUUACUAUGGGUCAGAAGAACAAAUAAGAGCCUUACAGAAUAUUGAUCCUGAUGGUGAAACGGUCAUAUCUACACGUGUACGCGUUGGCCGAAGUCACGCAAAGUACCCAUUUAUACCCGUAUGUUCGUUACAGAUACACACAUGCCGAAGAAGAUUGUAAUAUCUGGAGAUAACAUUUCCUACGUCACGAAAUAGACACCAUCACACUGGUCUACGUAACAUUCCUAUAGAUGCUUGAUAUACAUGUAUUUAAGUGCUUUUAAGAACUGUGUUUGAAUGACGAAUUUCUGUGAAUACGGAUUUUUAGUUUUAAUGAUUAUUAUUAAAACUUUCUGUAAUAAUCCAUUUG